CUGCACUUCUCUGGCAUCGGCUCUGAGCUCCAACCCCUCACAUCUGAAAGAGUUGGACCUGCGCUACAAUCAUCCAGGAGAAGCAGGCUUGAGGCAGCUGUUGGCUGGACAGAAGGAUACACACUGGAGACUUGAAACUCUCAGGGUGGACCCUCAUGGAGACCAAUGGUUGGUACCAGGUUUGACAAAGUAUUCCUGUCAACUCGAAAUCGACAAAAACACCGUGAACAGCAAACUCAGACUGUCUGAAGGCAACAAGAAGGUGACACGUGUGGAAGAGGAACAGUUAUAUCCUGAUCAUCCUGACAGAUUUGAUGUCUGGCCACAAUUACUGUGUCAAAAUAAACUAGAGGACGGUCGUUUUUACUGGGAGGUUGAAUGUAAAGGAGAUGUUACUAUAUCUGCCAGUUACAGAAGAAUCAGGAGGAAGGGAACCAGUCAGGAUGUCGUGUUUGCAGUGAAUGAUCACUCAUGGAGUCUGACAUGUUCUAAUGAUGGUAGUUACUCUUACUGUCACAAUAAGAUACAAACACCCAUUUCUACCUCCUCAUCCUCGUCCCCCACCCACUCUCCCUCUUAUUUAUCCCCACUGUCCUACUUCUUUUCCUCUCCAUCCUCCUCAUCCUCUGUCUUGAACAGAGUAGCGGUGUAUGUGGACUAUCUUGCUGGCAUUGUGUCCUUCUACAGAGUCUCCUCAGAUACACUGAUUCACCUCCACACCUUCAACACCACAUUCACUGAGCCUCUUUAUCCUGGAUGUGGAUUGUGGUCUGAUUUCUCAGAGUUUCAGACCAUGUAAUUUCUUGUUUCUUAUCUUGUUUUUUUUCUGUUUGUCAUCAAAGCCUCACAGUGAAUAUCAGCAUGUUGUGUUUGCUGAAUGCAAACUGUAAAAUCAGAAAGGAACCUCAAUCGAUCCCAUGCAUCAAAUUCAGCAGAAAGGAGCAUUGUGUACCAGUUUAUGUAUCAGGUGGCAUUUGAUCAGACAGAGAAAAAAUAUUUUAGGAAUACAUUGAAUUUUAUUAACAUAAAAACUCCAGGUCCUGACCUGAUGAGGCAUUCCUCAAAACCUCAUGAA